rnacentral:misc_RNA from 1 species
AAGUCGUAACAAGGUCUCCGUAGGUGAACCUGCGGAGGGAUCAUUAACACGUAUCCAACGUUAUCAAACCCAAACCGUGCUCUUUAUUACUUCCCAUCACAGAUAGGUGAUUAGUAGGCUAUAGAUGGAUUUUCAAUUUAAUAUGGAAACAUAUUAAAUUGCAACUGCUUACAAUCUAUUGAUCCUUGAGAUCGGCUGAAUCUGUAUGGUGUAUCAAAGCCAUCUGGUUAUAUAUGCCAAACCGGUUUCGACCCGGAGCUAUAUAACCUUAGUAAACCCCCAAAUUUUUUUACCCCUUUCAAUAUUAUUAUUACUGACUUAACUUUUUCUUAAACUUAACAGUUUAGAAAAUGUAUACGAAACGCGAACAACUCUUAGCAAUGGAUAUCUUGGUUCUCGUACCGAUGAAGAACGAAGC